rnacentral:rRNA from 1 species
AUACGGAGGGGGCAAGCGUUGUUCGGAAUUACUGGGCGUAAAGGGCGCGCAGGCUGUUUCGUUAGUCAGGCGUGAAAGCCCCGGGCUCAACCCGGGAACUGCGUUUGAAACUGGCAGGCUUGAGGCCGGGAGAGGGUAGUGGAAUUCCCAGUGUAGAGGUGAAAUUCGUAGAUAUUGGGAAGAACACCAGUGGCGAAGGCGGCCACCUGGCCCGGUACUGACGCUGAGGUGCGAAAGCGUGGGGAGCAAACAGGAUUAGAAACCCCAGUAGUCC